GGUUCCAUAGUGUAGCAAUCAGCACGUCUGCUUUACACACAGAAGGUCCUAGGUUCACCCCCUAGGGGAGCCA
rnacentral:tRNA from 1 species